UAGCCCUUUGAACUGUGAUUCAGGUAAGUCUAUCCAUGUUUAAUGCCUUCUGUUUUAACAUUUGGGAUUUAUUUCGAAGAGGAAAGCGCUUUUAAAUCUUCAUUUUGAAAAGGCAAGAAUUCCUUAACUCGGAACAUGUGUUGUACAAUGAUGUGAGUAUGAGGAUUGAAAAAAAUAUGUAUAUUUUUCAAAGAAUUAGUACAUCCAACAAGGCGAUGUUGAAACAAAAGGCAUAAAAAGAAAAUGAGAUGAUGACUAAUCGUUAAUGAAAGGCCCUAAAACAAUGAAGCUGUACUUUCUCAGCAUCUGUCUUUUUCGUUGCCUUUCCAAAUGUACUAGUCCUUUUUCCCUCAUCACCAGUAUUGCUGCUUUCUAGGGUUCUUAAGUAAAGUUACAGGCUCAGCAGAGAGGUAUAGUUAGGAAGGAGGUGGGAUUGUGAAGGCUUGGUAUUACCUCAGGCUUGUAUUUGAAGUACCAGUUGCAUUUACAAGACAAAAUCUGCAAUAGAACAUUGAGUCUAGUUCUUAAAGAAUGAAUUUUGUUGGAGAGCUAUGGGAUUGAGACAUUAACUAAGAGUUCUUCUUUGAGCUUUGACUAAUUAAAUAAGUAACUGUUACAUAUCAGACCUGCACAACUUACUGAAAUAGAGAAAUAGGGAGAGAAAGAGAUAGAAAUAGAUGAGAAAAG
rnacentral:misc_RNA from 1 species